rnacentral:rRNA from 1 species
UACGUAGGGGGCUAGCGUUGUCCGGAAUCAUUGGGCGUAAAGCGCGUGUAGGCGGUCCGGUAAGUCCGCUGUGAAAGUCGGGGGCUCAACCCUCGGAUGCCGGUGGAUACUGUCGGGCUUGAGUACGGAAGAGGCGAGUGGAAUUCCUGGUGUAGCGGUGAAAUGCGCAGAUAUCAGGAGGAACACCAAUUGCGAAGGCAGCUCGCUGGGACGUUACUGACGUUGAGACGGCGAAAGCGUGGGGAGCAAACAGG